CCUACGGGAGGCAGCAGUGAGGAAUAUUGGUCAAUGGACGAGAGUCUGAACCAGCCAAGUAGCGUGAAGGAUGACUGCCCUAUGGGUUGUAAACUUCUUUUAUAUGGGAAUAAAACGUUCCACGUGUGGGAUUUUGUAUGUACCAUAUGAAUAAGGCUCGGCUAACUCCGUGCCAGCAGCCGCGGUAAUACGGAGGAUCCGAUCGUUUUCCGGAUUUAUUGGGUUGAAAGGGCGUGUAGGUGGAUUGUUAAGUCAGUUGUGAAAGUUUGCGGCUCAACCGGAAAAUUGCAGUUGAAACUGGCAGUCUUGAGUACAGUAGAGGUGGGCGGAAUUCGUGGUGUAGCGGUGAAAUGCUUAGAUAUCACGAAGAACUCCGAUUGCGAAGGCAGUUCACUGGACUGCAACUGACACUGAGGCUCGAAAGUGUGGGUAUCAAACAGGAUUAGAUACCCAGUAGUC
rnacentral:rRNA from 1 species